UGUUAAAAGUGAAGCCAGCUGUGU
rnacentral:piRNA from 2 species